UAAUAUAUGUAACUGUAAUUAAAUACUAGUGCUUUUGAUUUUAAUGUUAAAUUUCAUGCAUGCUUUUGUUAAAUAUGCAGGUACAUUUGAAGAAAAUCAAUUUGAAUGCUCUAGGCAAGAUGGGCAUAAAAAACUCAAGCCCAAUGCUGUGCCAACUCUUUUCAAUGUGCCUAAUCCUCCACAACUGUUGACCCCACAGCGUCUAAAAGGCAUUGGUUUACCAAAGCACCGUUCAGUUACAUCCAAUUUUUGUAAUCAUUUUCAGGUAUCCUUACUUAUAUGUGUUUCAUAAUUUUUGCAUCUUCAGGGUGGCUUGCUGCACAGUUUACCUUUAUCAACUGAAGCGAUUUCUGUUGCUGAACCAUCUGUUGUUCAUUUGCCACAACCUUCAGCUUCAUAUUUUGGAGAAAUAAAUUUUGCUGCUGAAGUAUUUUAAAUGUUUCCAUCUUCAUAAUCAUGCACUUUAUUUCAUUUCACCAGUGGUUGCAAAUGUGUACAUUACAGUACAUCUCAGGUUUGUUUGCAAGAACAAGCUUCAACUUCAUCUUGUGAUAAAAUGCCAUCUAUUUGUGAAGGAUCUCAUGUUUGUUUGCAAGAACAGCCUUUAGCCUCAUUUUGCAAUGAAAUACCAUCUAUUUGUGAAGGCUCUGAUGUAAGUUGAUAACUAAUGUAUAAUUAAAUUGCUUCCUUAUAUACAUUUAAAAUGUUCUAUAAAGUAAUUUUUUGGUAAAAGGAAUGUAAUUAAUUUCAUCAAUAGUUGCAAAUUCUCUAUGUAAAUUUCAGUUU